rnacentral:rRNA from 1 species
UUCCGUAGGUGAACCUGCGGAAGGAUCAUUAAUUAUGUUAAAGCGCCUUACCUCUUAGGGUUUCCUCUGGGGUAAGUGAUUGCUUCUACACUGUGAAAAUUUGGCUGAGAGACUCAGACUGGUCAUGGGUAGACCUAUCUGGGGUUUGAUCGAUGCCACUCCUGGUUUCAGGAGCACCCUUCAUAAUAAACCUAGAAAUUCAGUAUUAUAAAGUUUAAUAAAAAACAACUUUUAACAAUGGAUCUCUUGGUUCUCGCAUCGAUGAAGAACGUAGCAAAGUGCGAUAACUAGUGUGAAUUGCAUAUUCAGUGAAUCAUCGAGUCUUUGAACGCAGCUUGCACUCUAUGGUUUUUCUAUAGAGUACGCCUGCUUCAGUAUCAUCACAAACCCACACAUAACAUUUGUUUAUGUGGUAAUGGGUCGCAUCGCUGUUUUAUUACAGUGAGCACCUAAAAUGUGUGUGAUUUUCUGUCUGGCUUGCUAGGCAGGAAUAUUACGCUGGUCUCAGGAUCUUUUUCUUUGGUUCGCCCAGGAAGUAAAGUACAAGAGUAUAAUCCAGCAACUUUCAAACUAUGAUCUGAAGUCAGGUGGGA